rnacentral:rRNA from 1 species
UAGCGUAGGGGCUAGCGUUGUCCGGAAUCAUUGGGCGUAAAGAGCGUGUAGGCGGCCCGGUAAGUCCGCUGUAAAAGUCAAAGGCUCAACCUUUGAAUGUCAGUGGAUACUGCCGGGCUAGAGUCCGGAAGAGGCGAGUGGAACUCCUGGUGUAGCGGUGGAAUGCGCAGAUAUCAGGAAGAACACCGACGGCGAAGGCAGCUCGCUGGGACGGUACUGACGCUGAGACGCGAAAGCGUGGGGAGCGAACAGG